CGCUGGCGUUGACGACGAUGGCGACGUCCUUGUGGUUCUUGGCGGCAGAGCGGACCAUGGUCGGGCCGCCGAUAUCGAUAUUCUCGAUCGCCAGCGGC
rnacentral:tRNA from 1 species